CUACCCCUUUUAAGAGGCUGGCAGAUUAUGCACAGCAGCACAAUGAAAUAAAGGGAAUUACUUAUACAAGUGCUGUCCCACAUAAGGGCUGCAAAACUCAGUCUUGCCAUUUCUUCCCUGCCCUGCAGUGUUAUCAAGGGUCCUGGUUUCAGCUGCGAUAAUUUCCUUUCUAGUGGGUGCUGUGUUUCAGAUUUGGUAUGAAAGGAAUCUCAAUAAUGCAUAUUGUUUUGGCUCUUCCUAGCUGAUGUUUAUAAUAUUCAAGGACGUUUUUCAGCUUCCCGUAGAAGCUGAGGAGCAUACAUAGAACAAUGGAAUGGCCAAUGGAAUAUUUUGUAACAUAGAUGUCAUGCUUGCAAACCGGACAUAAGUGGACCUUCUUCAUGCUAGGCGAUGUAAUCCCAGUGUCCCUGGAGGAUGUACAAAGAGAGCUGAUGCAGUGAAUGAAUAGCUCCAGAAGUAGAAAUCUUCUGCCUUUGGGAAAGAGGAAGUAAAUCCAGGACAAGAGUUUUGAAGACUGAACAAAGAGCAUCAACAUGAUGGUUAACUUCUCUGUAAAAUCCUGGCCCGGGCUUGUAUUAACCAAAGCACUUCAAGAUGAGUUCAACUUUUAAGCAUUAGCUUAAGCCCCUUCCUUUUGGAAAAGUAGUUAAACCAAGGCCUGAAAUGAAGUGUACCACCCUUGAGGGCAGGUGAAGGUUUGUACAUAAGAUGUAUGCUUUGCAUUGAGAUUCAAGAAAAUAACACUCCCUGAAGCCUGAUCCAAAGCCAAUGAGACUCUGUUAACUUUGGUUAAGUUUGUUUUUGGAAGCAAAUAGUAAUUCCAGCAAAGAAUAUAAGUGAGUAGAAGACACACUGGGAGUUCUGGAUGUUUUUAUAGGUGUAUGAUCAUCUAAGAAAGAGAAGAGCUAUUUGAGUAAAAGACUCAAUUGACAGAAGAGCAAACGUGCUUGCGUACUGAGCCUGUGGAAAAAUAUUUGUGAGAAAAUUGUAGUGAGGAAAGUAACAUGUGUUCAAGAAGGUACCAGUUGGAACACUGGAAUACAAUUUAUAAGCCCUUCUUCUGAUUAAGGAAAAUCUUUGGAUAUCUGAAGUUCAACAGAAUGAAAAAAGCCCAAAUCAUCAAAAGGAGAGAAGGUGAAG